UUGGUUUGUUACCGGUGGUCGGCUCGCUUUGCUUGUGCAACAACUUCCACCUAACUUGCCUGGUUGUUUGUCCGGUAAGGGCUGAAAAUGCCUGAACAAAUUGUGGGUUUCAUGUGUUGCGUACCUAACAUAAGGUAUUGAUCUGGCUAAUCUAAAUUUCUUUUGUCUUUCGUCAAUGUUUAUGACGACCGACGAACCCUAAACCUGUCUCUUUGAACCACAUCAAUAAUGCUUUUGUUGAUGUAGUGGUGCAUUGAGCCAUGGUUGGUCUCUUUGAUGUAGUACCUGAUGUGGGCAUGGGUCUCACGGGAUCCCUGUUAUGUCCCUGCAUAGUGUUUAUGCUCCCUUAAAUGACUGCUCGACACGCAUUUGCUAGUAUUUGCGUGUCGGGCUUUGUCUAAGAGGAAAGUUACCUGGU
rnacentral:misc_RNA from 1 species